AAGCGAAUAAGAUGGGAGGGCUUGUUUCAAUCCCUUUUGAUAGACUCGCGACAUAUACCCCGGUUGGUGACGCUUGUGAUAUGUUCAGUCGAGAGGUGGGGAUUUAUAUGUGGGAUAACCUUGCAUUUGAUAGGUACUCUUACACUAAUGUUUCUGCUGCUGAAAAGAAUGCUAUGGAACAACAUCUCAGACGGCGCUUCAAUUUUGAGGAAAUUGAGCGGGAUUGCGAACGUGGUCAGCUUAAGGGUGGCAUUCGGUCGGUCUACAUGAAGCGAUACAGAGACCGGAAGAGUAUGGCAAAAAAGGAGUUUAUAGAAUUAGGAAAGCGACAUGAUAAUUUAGAGACAAUAAGGGGCAGUCCCCCCACGGGUAUGGGUGUGGAAAAUUGGAGGAAGACUAUAGACCUUUUCGGUGAUCCGAAAUAUAAAAAAAAGGUGUGAAGUUAACAAAAAAAAUCGUGAAAAGCAACUGUUCGCAAACCACGGGGGGUCGGCAUCAUAUAGCAGCUGGUCUUUUAAAAAGAAUGUUGAAGCUUUGGAAACGUACGCUCAUGCUCACACUCUACCCGAUGGGACCUUUGCCAGCCCGUUGGAAGAGGAGAAUUUUAACCUAUUAAAGGAAGAAUUUAAAAGACAAAGGACCCAAAAUAACCCAUUCUUGGAAGAUGAGGGUGAAAUCGGUGAAAGUAGUGCGCCUGCCAUUAGUAAUGUUCAAGUUUUUGAAAAGGUGUUUGGUGCUCGGCGCGGAAUUUAUAGGGGACCGGGCGUAAACCUUCUUUAUCUUCAGCCUCGAGUGACGUGAGUCCUCAUGAGAAGGAGAAGACACGUCCGCAAUUUUCAGAGGAAUACUUUGACGAAUUGUUUGAAGACCCGAGAUUUAUGGAACGACUCUACAAAGCUAUGGAUAAGAAGGAAUCAAGAAAAGGCAACGAAAAUGACACGGACGAGGAGGGAGAAUGAUGUAUUUUGUAUUGAACUUAGGGGUUUCAAAACUUUAACUUAAUCAAACAAAAUUCUUUUGUUGUCGUUUUAUGUUUA